GCAAGUCGAGGGGUAACAUGUCUGCUUUCAGAUGAUUACUACCGGCGCACGGGUGCGUAACGCGUAUGCAACCUACCUUAUACAGAGGGAUAUCCCCUAGAAAUUUUGAUUAAUACCUCAUAGUACUUUAAAGCCUCAUGGUUUAGAAGUUAAAACUCCGGAGGUAUAAGAGGGGCAGGAGUUAGAGUAGCGAGUGGGGGAGGUAAAGGCUAAAAAAGGCGACGAGCUAGAGGGGGUCGGAGAGGAUGAGC
rnacentral:rRNA from 1 species